AUGCGGAGGAAAAGAAACUAACAAGGAUUCCCCUAGUAACGGCGAGUGAACCGGGAAGAGCUCAAAUUUGAAAUCUGGCGUGCUCAGUGCGUCCGAGUUGUAAUCUAUAGAGUCGUUUUCCGUGCCGGACUGUGUCCAAGUCCCUUGGAACAGGGUAUCAAAGAGGGUGAUAAUCCCGUACUUGACACAAUGACCGGUGCUCUGUGAUACGUCUUCUACGAGUCGAGUUGUUUGGGAAUGCAGCUCAAAAUGGGUGGUGAGUUCCAUCUAAAGCUAAAUAUUGGCGAGAGACCGAUAGCGAACAAGUACCGUGAGGGAAAGAUGAAAAGCACUUUGGAAAGAGAGUUAAACAGUACGUGAAAUUGUUAAAAGGGAAACGAUUGAAGUCAGUCGUGACUGAGAGGCUCAGCCGGUUCUGCCGGUGUAUUCCCCUCAGUCGGGUCAACAUCAGUUUUGUUCGGUGGAUAAGGGCAGUUGGAAGGUGGCACCCUCGGGUGUGUUAUAGCCAGCUGUCGCAUACAUCGGAUGAGACUGAGGAAUGCAGCUCGCCUUUAUGGCCGGGGUUCGCCCACGUUCGAGCUUAGGAUGUGACAUAAAGGCUC
rnacentral:rRNA from 1 species